GUGGGGCAGAGAGGCCCCACGCUGGCAAUGAGGGGGUUAAGAAGGCUGACUGGUUCCCCAUUGGCAAUCGAAGGGUUAGGGAAAACUUGUGGACCUGUCACGCAAUUGGCCCUGCCCAACUACACUGCAGCCAAUGUCAGGCAUGGAGAGGGGAGAUAAAAGGAGUGAGCCCAGCACUGUUUGAGUGCUGACUAAGAAGGUGGGUGGAGUUCUGUUUCUUGGGGAAGAAAAGCCCAGUUCUAACCCUGAGAUGGCAUUUGCUUGACAGUUGGAUCAAUCCUCCUGGAGGGGAUGACCAGAUCCUGGGAAGGGAAUUGACAGAAGCACAGACGGUUUUGGAAACAAGCCCCAAAUAGAAGGGUCACUUUAAUUACAGGCUUCAUUCUAUUAUGCACGUGAUGUACAUUCCAUUUAACUGACCACAGAGGAGCAGGAGGGGCUGGAAAGGAGACAGAAGAUUGAACUAACGAUGGAACCUGCAAGCGAACUGGCCCCUAGUGUCGUCAUGAUUUGGGGUAUGGAAUCUGAAAUUUGGUACAGAGAUGGUCCCUAUGCUGCACAUGCUCAUUUAAGACGUGAGCAAAAUCUUUUUCUAACUCCUUCCAAAAAUAAGUUCCUCCUAAAGCAGAAACUCACUCUGGGGAAACCGUAGCCAAAAUGUGUGGCUUUUUCUAUAGCAUGCAAAGGAGCUACAGUGGUGUAGUCAAAUAAUCCUAUGCUUUCAGCCCAAAAUUACUUAUUUAAGUCUCCAUGAGAGAGAACAGGAAUUUCCUCCUCUCACUGGUUGCAGCAAUUCUGAAAACAAAAUGGUCGUUGUCUCAGAAAACAAAGGCAGCUUCAUAGUGACAGAUGCCACAUAAUAGAAAUGUUUUUUUUUAACCUUAACUAUAUCAGGCACUUUAGAAUCCACACUCUGAUGCAAAUACUGACAAUUCAGUUUCUUUACCUUCAGUGAGUACACACUUGUCUUUCAGACAGCUAGCUGGCUCUGUUUAUGGCAUGAAUGAAUUCAGGAUACUGUAGUCUAAUGGCUAGGAAUGCACCGUAGUCUGGGGAUAUGGGUUUGCAGCCGCCACCUCUUCAGGUAGUUCCUCUUGGUCACUCAGCCUGAAUUAUAAACACACCCAUAUUUAAGUGCAGGGCAAUAACUUACUAGAUAAGUUUCACUUGUUUGGACUGGUUUAGGGUUGCCAUAAGGCUGAUGGACAUGAGGGUUUUUCCUCAUGUGAAGCCAAAGUGCAGAAAUCAUGUUGUGGACUGAGAUGUUUGGUUCGGAGUUGUCAUGAUCUGACAAAAGAGAGAAUACAAGUGAAAACGCUUUUUGUGGCCGUCACUUUACAAAGUACAGCCUCAGUACCAAAUUUGACCAGAAAUUCCAGUUGCUCUACCAUUUAUUUACUGAAGUAGUAAAUGAGCUUCUGCUUAAAUGAUUCCUAUUCAUUUUACAUGCCCCUUUUGGGCUCAGAAUAGUGUAAGGAGAUAGGCUGGGUUUGAGCUGAUCCCUGAGAGACUAAGUGUGAGCCAACGUUGUUCCUAUAUGAAAUCUAAGUGACAAAGUCUGCACUUCUCUAGCACCUUGCAUUGAGGUUCACUGAACAUUUGCAAAGUGGUCAGAAUCACAACACCCUUAUGAA